UUGCUGUGAGAGACAGAUAUAUAACCUAUCUACAGAAACUUCCGCCUUACUGUUAUAGUAGGAGAGGGACCCUCCAAGCUGCAAACACAGUUGUGGACUUCAGUAGGACUCGGCACUAGUGGCACACCAUCAUGUCCUGCAUAUUUAGAAUGGAAUUCUGGGAUUUGGAGGCAGACUCAGAUGUGACCCUCCUCUAGCCCACCCUUGGCCUCCUGGGAGAGAUGAUGGAGAAUUUGGGACACUGCAUUUGAACUCCAAGACUCUGAGAUUGGUUAACGUUGAAAGAGACAAGGGAAGCUGGUGUAAGAACUGAGCACCUACUAAAUACCAGGUUUGCAGGAGUUGAAAGCAGAGUCUGAUGCCAAGAAGCCUUCGAAGGAGGAUUUCCAUGCAGUGAGAUCCAGUUACCUAGUCCCUAAUGAAGAAUGAAGAAAUAUCUUGGGGCAGCAAGUCCUAUACUUGGAUCUAAAACAAUGAACUCAGUGGGGAUGCUGGACUUGUAGCUCUUUGAAUGCACUAACUUUACCCACCCAUACAGGAGCCAUGGAUCAUUUUAGACAGACAGGCAACUGGAAAAAAAAUUCUGGGGUAUUAAGGGGCCCCCAAAGUCUCAGUGGUGUGGUGUUUUAUUUGGAAUAAACAAUACAAUGAAAGAGGCUGUGCCUACAAACCCCUGUGGUAAUAGUAUACCCAGAGAGGGACUGUUUAAAGAGAAAUCAAAGUAUGUCUUAAGUCAGUUCUGACUUCUGAAGCAGGAGUCCCAGUAAAGCCCAGAUCAUGAAAAUGUUGCCACUGAAACCACUGUGGCUGAACUUUCUGUAAGAUGGCCUUGUGCUUGGAGGACCUCUCUGUGCAUGUGAGCUUAACCAACAUGUGAGGAAAUGGCCCCGUGACUCUUGUGUGUAGCCCAAAAUCUCAUAAUUGUUGUGUUCUACAGUGGUCAUA